CCCAGGCAAAGACAUACCAUUACUUAAUUUGUCACUUGGCAAACUACCGAUCCCGUACAUGAAGUAAAAAGCUUUGUUUGACGAUUUUUAUCAUUUUAACUUUUCAACAUACAAUUUUUUAUUGCAAUAUUGAAUGUAAACAACAACAAAGACGUGGGUGAAUAAUGUUCUCUAAAAAUUAACGAUCCAAGUGUCAGGCAGACAGAGCGAGAGCAGACGUCCUCCAAAUGGCAGAUAACCCACAUGAAUUAUCGUAACCCAAUCCCUGGAAAGUUCACCUUCCAACAAAGCCCUUUGAAAGGAAAUGUAUACAUCCAGCAUCGUCUGAGGCAUCAUAAGAAUUUAAUUGUGUAUUACUUAUCCAUUAAAUCCUGCUGAGAACCAUUCACGGAUACAAAAUCUCGUGCAGAGAUGCUCCAAAGCCUGUGGUGACACAACCUCUUCACGCUGUUCACGCAAUAAACUGCAAACUGCAUCACUAAAUAUCCAGUGCUAAAGAAGCCUUUACGGUCCUAUGAAAUAAAGUUAUUUGUAUUAAA